UGCUGCAGCUUAAUAACCCAUCUCCACGGCAGAGACGAAUUCCGGACUCGACCAUCAGGUCUGGGCUGGUGGGGAAGGACCCGGCAGAGUUAGGGUCACGGCGAGUCCCACAAGGCAUCUAAAGGAGGUUCUGGGUCAUGGGUAACCCCAGCCUCCCGUUUCCUCACUCACAUGGAUGCGCCACCUAAUGGCCAAAGUACAGAACCGCAGAAUGUCAAGACAGGACUAGGGAUGUGCCUGUUUUUGCAGAACUGCUUCUCAGGGUUUUACCAUACUUGCAGAACUUACAGUACUUCUAGAACUCCUCUCGUACUUUGAAGAGAAGAGACCACACUUCUCCCCAGAAGCUGGCGAGCAUUGCAUUGCAUAUUCUAUAGGGUGCGUACAUUGUCUGGGUGAUUGUGCCCACAUCACAGUCUCCUAGGAUGCCGCAA